AGAAUCAACGCUGGCGGCGUGCCUAACACAUGCAAGUCGCACGAGAAAGUGGAGCAAUCCAUGAGUAAAGUGGCGCACGGGUGAGUAACACGUGAAUUAUCUACCUCCGAGUGGGGAAUAACUGAGAGAAAUCUUAGCUAAUACCGCAUAACACUUACGAGUCAAAGCAGCAAUGCGCUUGGAGAGGAGUUCGCGGCCGAUUAGUUAGUUGGCGGGGUAAUGGCCCACCAAGACGAUGAUCGGUAUCCGGCCUGAGAGGGCGCACGGACACACUGGAACUGAAACACGGUCCAGACUCCUACGGGAGGCAGCAGUGGGGAAUUUUGCGCAAUGGGGGAAACCCUGACGCAGCAACGCCGCGUGGAGGAUGAAAUCCCUUGGGAUGUAAACUCCUUUCGAUAGGGAAGAUAAUGACGGUACCUAUAGAAGAAGCCCCGGCUAACUUCGUGCCAGCAGCCGC
rnacentral:rRNA from 1 species